rnacentral:rRNA from 1 species
GCAGUCGAACGCGAAAGCUUGGGCAACUGGGCGAGUAGCGUGGCGCACGGGUGCGUAACACGUGGGUAACCUACCUUCGAGUGGGGAAUAACUCUUCGAAAGGGGAGCUAAUACCGCAUAAGACCACAGCCGCUUCAGGGGGUGCGGUCAAAGGGGGCCUCAGCUUUUAGAGCAUUUGGGAUGAUCUUCCGUGGUGGGGGAUGGUCCUCAGUGUUGUGAGAGUGAAGCUGCCGCUUGAAGAGGGGCC